rnacentral:rRNA from 1 species
AAGAACCUUACCAGGUCUUGACAUCUUUUGAUCACCUGAGAGAUCAGGUUUCCCUUCGGGGGCAAAAUGACAGGUGGUACAUGGUUGUCGUCAGCUCGUGUCGUGAGAUGUUGGGUUAAGUCCCGCAACGAGCGCAACCCUUAUGACUAGUUGUCAGCAUUUAGUUGGGCACUCUAGUAAGACUGCCGGUGACAAACCGGAGGAAGGUGGGGAUGACGUCAAAUCAUCAUGCCCCUUAUGACCUGGGCUACACACGUGCUACAAUGGAUGGUACAACGAGUUGCGAGACCGCGAGGUCAAGCUAAUCUCUUAAAGCCAUUCUCAGUUCGGACUGUAGGCUGCAACUCGCCUACACGAAGUCGGAAUCGCUAGUAAUCGCGGAUCAGCACGCCGCGGUGAAUACGUUCCCGGGUCUUGUACACACCGCCU